rnacentral:rRNA from 1 species
CCUACGGGAGGCAGCAGUGAGGAAUAUUGGUCAAUGGACGAGAGUCUGAACCAGCCAAGUCGCGUGAAGGAAGACUGUCCUAUGGAUUGUAAACUUCUUUUAUCUGGGAGUAAAAUGUUCCACGCGUGGGAUUUUGUGUGUACCCUAUGAAUAAGGAUCGGCUAACUCCGUGCCAGCAGCCGCGGUAAUACGGAGGGUGCGAGCGUUAAUCGGAUUUACUGGGCGUAAAGGGCUCGUAGGCGGUAUGUCAAGUCAAGGGUGAAAUCCGGGCGCUCAACGUGGGAAGUGCCUUUGAAACUGGCAAACUUGAGUGUGUGAGAGGAUAGUGGAAUGCGAGGUGUAGGAGUGAAAUCCGUAGAUAUCUGGAGGAACAUCAGUGGCGAAGGCGACUAUCUGGCACAUAACUGACGCUGAGGAGCGAAAGCGUGGGUAGCAAACAGGAUUAGAUACCCUGGUAGUC